GGCCCCGAGGGUGGAGAGUCGGGUGCCUCUCAGAGCCAGCUUUUGUCGAGCGCGAAGUCGAAGGCGGAUGGAAUGCUCCGAGCGGCGGCCUGCAAGGCCUCGCGCUCGCGUGAUUCCCUCGGCCCGGAGAGGCGCGCGCUCGCCCGGCCGCCCGCGCUUAGGAAAGCGCGCUGCUUCGGGGCCUACUUCCACAACUGAAUCGGGCCUUGGCGGAAAGGCUCCCGAGAGCCUCUUGGGGGUACGGAGGGCUACAAUUUAGCGGAAUUGCGGGAAGAGGGCGGCCGGAGCGGAUGGAUUAAUCUCCCAGAAGAGGUAGUCCUCAACGUAUUACCACAAUGGACCCCAAAUUUUCUGUUGCUAAGUGAGACAUCUGUUUAGUGAGUUUUGCCUUAAUUUACGACUUUUCUUGCCACAGCUGCAGUUGAUAAGUUAGUAACCCGGUUGUUAAGUGAAUCUCGCUUUCCCAUUGACUUUCCUUGUCAGAAGGUCGCAAAAAGAGGAUCAUAUGUCCUUGGGACAUUGCAACCGUCAUAAAUCUGAACCAGUUGCCAAAGCGUCUAUUUUUUUAAUAUUUUUUUUUAAGGAUUUCUGGCAGGAGGGGAAGGAAUUGGGAUCCAAACCGCAAGCACGCCAAAUGUGAUUGCAACUCUAAACUGCAUUUUAAAAUGUCAUAAAUAUUUCUUGGUGUCGCCAACUCACCGUCAGACCCUAAGGAAGCUAUUAACCAUCUUAAUUGAAUUAGAUUUGUGUAGAAUAACCAUGUAGCCUUGAUUCCGUGUUUAUUGAGGGAUUCUGGAAACCAGUCCACCCAUCUUAAAAGUGGCUUAAGUUUGGAAAACAUUGAUUUAGACCAGGGAUGCCUCACCUUGACAGCCUUAAAGGUGGGGACUUCAACUCCCAGAAUUCCCCAGCCAAGUGCUGGCUCGGGAAUUCUGGGAGUUGAAGUCCACAAGUCUUAAAAUUGCUAAGGUUGGACAACCCUGAUUUAGACAAUAAUAGAAUAUUUCCUUGAUACAUCAUGUUCCAAUGGCUCUCGAAGGCAGUUAAUAGUUGAACUAGACCAGACCAUAAGCAAGAGGGGAAAAUCUUACUAUAGCAGUAUUUUUGUUGCAAUUAAAAAGCUUUCCAGUCUCAAAAAGACUAAUCUGCUACUUAGUGAAAAAAGCAAAAUAAAGAAUAUUUAAGUUUUUUAUUAACAUUAAAAACAUUGGACACAGUGUGACCAUCCUAGUUUUGUCAUUUCCAUACAUAUUUUUACAUAACAAAUUACUACUUACCAUACAUUGCCACUUUGAUCUUAUAAACAUACCCCUUGUCCUCAUUUGCAUAUUUGUCUAAAUAUUGUCCAGUGUCAGUUCUACAAACCCUAAAUCUUUUUCGUUCCAACUCCUUAUCCUCCUUUCCAACCCUUGGUAAUUUGUUCCAGAUUUUAUAGUAUUCUCUGUCUCCUUUAUUUUUGAGUUGUAAUGUCAGCCUAUCCAUUUCUACGCAGGUCAAGGUUUUCUUUAUUAUUUCUUCUUCUGGGGGGAAUUUCUUCCUUUUUCCAGUAUUGCGCAUAAACUGAUCUUGCUGCUGUUAUAACCUGCAGCAUUAAAUAUAUCAAUCCUUUGCUACGUUUCUCUUUUGUAAUUCCUAGUAGGAAUAGUUCUGGUUUCAAAUCUAUGUUUUGGUCUAGUAUCUCUUCCAACCAUAUCUUUAUCUAACCAAAAUUCCCGGGCCUUUGUACAUAACCACCACAUGUGAUAGAAAGAUCUUAAUGCUGAAUUGCAGUGCCAACAUUGCGGUGAUAAAUUCCUGUUCAUUUUUGCUAACCUCGUGGGUGGAAGGUGCCACUUGUAGAACAUUUUAUAUAAAUUUUCUUUGUACGCGGUGGCUAGUGUUAGUUUCCUGUUUCUCUCCUGUAAGGUAAAAGUAAAGGUUCCCCUCUCACAUGCAUGCUAAUCGUUCCCCAUUCUAGGGGGCGGUGCUCAUCUCCAUUCCAAAGCCGAAGAGCCAGCGCUGUCCGAAGAUGUCUCCGUGGUCAUGUGGCCGGCAUGACUCAACGCCAAAGGCCCACGGAACGCUGUUCCCACCAAAGGUGGCCCCUAUUUUUCUACUUGCAUUUUUUACCUGCUUUCGAACUGCUAGGUUGGCAGAAGUUGAGACAAGCAACGGGAGCUCACCCCGUUACGCGGCACUAGGGACUCGAACCGUUGAACUGCCGACCUUUCAAUCGAUAAGCUCAGCGUUUUAGCCCGAAUUUUGAUCACACAGCUGCAACGGAGAUGCCACAAUGGUCGCAAAUGCGAGGACCUGACACAAAUCACUUUUUUUUCGGUGCCGUGAUAACUGGUCACUGAAUGAAUGGUUGUAAGUCGAGGACUUGCCUAUGCCUGGAGAGCGCCUUCUCUCUUUCCUUACCUUUUUUAUCAUUUUGAGCAUAUUCCUUUGUGGCUGCAAACCCAGCUUGGCUGCAAAGCUCUGCAUCGGCGGAAAAACUGAACCUUGCGCUAUAAAUUACGGCCAGAUUCCUAUAGGAAGGCUGGAAAUGGGGAGAGCCGAGUUCGAGUUCUGCCUUAGACACACAAACCCAGCUGAAGGACGUUGGGCCAGUCACUUUGCCAAGGAAAUAUAACAGUACAACAUUAGACUUGGAAAGGAUCUUGGAGGUUAGCCAUCACUGCUAUAUCUAUUAUAUUACUGUGGUACAGUCACCCACUGAAUCUUGAUUUAAUUUGUAAAUAUGUACAACUACAAGCCUCAUCCAUAAAGGGAUAUUUUUGUGGCUUUGUUGGCAAAGUCAACAAAUGUGAGCAAAUCGGCGAUGCAAACUGACGGUACAUUGUAUGAACAUGACAUUAAACAUAUUCCUUGAUGCAAAUUCUAGACUGGGAUCGUACUUCGUACUAAAGCACGAUAGGAUUUGUGGUAGGUUGUGUUUCUUCAGACAGCUUUGAUGACGCUGUUAACACAACCCGGGGUCUUCUAUGCGCCCAGCAUGUUGUGCAAAUUAAGCAUUUUGGUCAUUGCCAAGUCAGAAUAUCAACCAAGUACAUUAGAAUCAUAAUUUACUCUCUGAAAAACAAAGAGAUGGAUGGCUGGAUGACUUCAGUGAAUCAUCAGUGACUCUAAGAUGAACGGGAAGGCUGCAUUUGAUUUUGGGGUUCAAAUCCUCUAUUAAUGUUGCCCAAAUAUAGGGAGAUGGAUAGUUCAGAAAUGUAAAAACAUAAUUACAUAAAACUAUGGUUGAGGUGAAAAUUGUAAAUAUCAAAAUGUUGUUUGUAUCAUUGAAACUUCUGUUACUGUGUUUUUUUCUUGUAAGACAAAAGAUGUUAAUGUAUGUUAAUUUAGUUU